GUAGCUGCAGCCCGAUCAGUCAACCAGCCAACAAGCCAGUCCAUCGUUCAAAAUGUCCAUGAAGAUCCUGUACAUCACUCUCCUCCUGCUCCCAGUGUGUCUGUGCAAAAAUGGGUGGUUCCCCACGGGACUACUCAAUCAGUGUUGCACCAGUGUCUCCUCUUCGGAUGUCAGCGCAGACGUAAUUGGGACGCUCACGAUGCAACAACCCUAUGGACAAUGUGUGAAGGCUUUAAUUUUGCACAAACCAGGAAAGGUCUGUGUUGAUCCUAACGCUGAAUGGACCCGGAGUUGUAAGUUACUCAUAAUGGGAAGUACAAACACUCACGCAGACAUGACGGCUGUCACUCUUUAUUUGAAAUUCAAGUUAGCAUGUGGACAUGGGAUGAAUAAUUAGAUAUUCCAACUAUAAUGACCUGCUCAAAUUCUAACAAGGGUUGCAUAUAAAUUAUGGUAAUUCAUUUCUUGUUAAUUCUCAUUUGGUCGAAUUUGGUAUUUUUGUUUUUUUAAUAGUGACAGCUCUAAAAGAGGUAUAUGGUAUGUGCACAGAGGCACUGAUCUGUCGCUCUCUCUCUCUCUAGUCAUCAACAACGGAGGAAGCAGUGAAGCACCGCUACCUGUCUGAGCAAAACAUUUUCCUGCUGCUGUUUGAAAACCUGCAUCACACACUCACUCACUCAUUCACUCACACAGUAUAUACAAUCCUAUUUUCUACCGUAACAAUACCCCUGAAAUCACAUGCCUCAAUGCUUCCAACUGAGCUAAAACAUUUACAAUAUUAAUAUGAGCAUAAAAUGUAUUAUCAAGCAAUAA